AACGAACGCUGGCGGCAGGCCUAACACAUGCAAGUCGAACGAAGCCUUCGGGCUUAGUGGCGGACGGGUGAGUAACACGUGGGAACGUACCUUUUGGUUCGGAAUAACGCCGAGAAAUUUGCGCAAAUACCGGAUGAGCCCUUCGGGGGAAAAAUUUAUCGCCGAAAGAUCGGCCGCGGUUGGAUUAGGUAGUUGGUGUGGUAAAGGCGCACCAAGCCUACGAUCCAUAGCUGGUCUGAGAGGAUGAUCAGCCACACUGGGCCUGAGACACGGCCCAGACUCCUACGGGAGGCAGCAGUGGGGAAUUUUGCGCAAUGGGCGAAAGCCUGACGCAGCCAUGCCGCGUGAAUGAUGAAGGUCUUAGGAUUGUAAAAUUCUUUUACCAGGGGCGAUAAUGACGGUACCUGGAGAAAAAGCCCCGGCUAACUUCGUGCCAGCCGCCGCCGUAAGAC
rnacentral:rRNA from 1 species